GCCACGGUGAAUAGGACACAGGGAAACCAAUAGACAGGUUAUUCAACUCCAGGUCUGGAGGGACUCUUCUCUACUUGGAAGUUCAUUCAUGUCACUGAUCGGGCAGAGUCCAUUAACCUUGGGUGUCAGUCACCUGAUUAGCAGGGAAGGAUGACAACCACAGGGGUUUGGGCCCUGGAACUGAAUGGCCCUGCUCUACUGGCCAACACUGUGACACAGCAUGUCACUCUAAGGACAGCAAUGGUGAUGGGCUGGAGGCGACAAUACAUCUAUUCACCCAACGCCCGUAUUCAGCUGAAAAAAACAACCCCAGUGCCCUACACUGCACGGUCCCCGGCUCGCCUCUCUGCGGGCUUUAUGUAGGCUCAGUCAGCACAGCAAGUGUGCCAACUUAUAUCGCUAGCAGCAAACUGUCGCAAGCGAGACAUCGGUUACAACAUGGCAAUAAGAUGAAAGAUACAGUAACACAGAGAUAGCAGGCUACAGGCUACUUCACCACGGUCGACCGACAACAGUCUAUCAAAAACGCAACACAUGUCAAACCCCACCCAACGUUUCUACUACAGGAACGUAUACUUCAAAUCGGUUCUAUGUCCUAGAAAUGACACUUGUGUUUUUUCAAGUUUGACAGCUAACGACUAGAGUUGGUCCCGGCGAUGUUUCCAUACCUUGCUUCCUGGUAUCACAGGGAUGGAACCUAGUGUUCCCCCUGCAUUAUGGUAGGAUGAUUAUUUUUGCCAUAAUGGGCGGCUUGAUUCGUCGAAAACGAAGAGCAUUUCAACAUUGCAACAUUUGAUUGCUCAGAAACAAGGCAGACACACCCGAGGGCGUGAUUAGGGGAACUUUGAACGAUCGUGAUUGGGCAAAAAUACGCCACACGUGGGAACUUCUCUACUCUUCACAUUGUGGUUACAUUGUAGCAGCAACACGAGACUGUUUGUUACAUUGUAACUAACAAAUACUGUAUCACUAGGAGCAACAACAAAAUGGACAGUGUCGACAAGUUGUCUGGCAGGACCUAUACUUACUUACCACAGUCCCGCAUUACAGCAGUCCAUAAUGAGUUUAGAUUUUUCAGCACUCAUUCAUUGCAUCGAGGUAGUUACAGUCGCUUGAGAUAGGCUUGAGAUAGGCUACUUACUAUACAUUGUGAUGCAGAUACAGUAGAAUACAAUUGAUACGUUCUAUUAAAUUGCUUCCUAAAUUCCAAACCUUCCAGUAGCAGUGUUAAGCCGCUAGAGGGUAGGCGACAACAGGCAGAUAUUGAUAUAGUUUGUCUGUUGAUGGUCUGUAGGCUUUACAGUUCAACGUGCGAGCCGAGGUAAAGAGGGUUUCAGGUUGGAUAUUCGACGGAUAUUCGCCUGUCGUUUUCCUUACGUCCACCAACAGCAGUUAGGAACCGUCAACAUAGUGACAAAUGACAUUUUUUAAAUUUCAAUAGCUCUUUAACCAUUAAUCCUAAAAACUGGUUGUAGCUAACCUGAUGGCAUAGACACACAUUACACACCCUUUAGUUUGUCCAUUUUCAUCUCACAUGAUUUUACAUGAAUUUUUCAAAAUGUAACAUUUCAAUAGCUCCUUGAUCAUGUGACCUGGUGACUUCAAACAAGGUUCAGAAUGUCCAUUCAGUGGACCUACACAUUGCACACCCUUUAGUUUGUCCAUUUUCAUCUCCCACGUUUUACAUGAAUUUUUCUAAAUGUAAAAUUUCAAUAGCUCCUUGGUCAUGUGACCUAAUGUCCGCUGACUACCCUUCUAUAUUGCACACUGAGCUGGUGAGGUAAGUUGCAGUGGGUUUGCUGGUCAAUGCAUAUACUGAACAUGUAACCACAGUAAUGGUGGCCAGUAAAUCAAUGAAUAAAAAUGUAAUAUUGAAAAACAGAAAUUGUAGACCUUUAAUCUUUUCCAACAUGUCAACAGACACUUAACUUCAAUUAAGUAUGAAACAUUUCACAGUGUUAACUUUCUCUUUAUCCCUGGUUGAUGUCAGAGCCUCUUCAGUGUGGAUGGGGUAUAGCAUACAUUUUCAACAACAAAGACCGCAUUUCCAGUUUGUGUUCUUUACUCUGUUGAACUCUUUUGUCUUCAUUCCCAGGCACAGCACAUGGAACCACCGUUGGCAUGCAAAACAUUCAAUCUAAAACAAAACAAAGCGUAACACGUUAUAAAUAAUAUCAAAUAUCAUUGCAGUAUGACGAAUUAGCCAUCCAUUGUGUUAUAUCAUAAAUUGUCUUUUCACUGUAUUUUCACAGUUGUCAAAAGACUAUAAACAUGUUAAAUAUAGUUACUAACCCAGUCAGUCUUAGGGCCACAUCCAGGUUCUUUAUCAGUGGCACACAUGAAGCAGUUGUUGGCUUUGUUGAACUUUG
rnacentral:lncRNA from 13 species